UACGGAAGGCAGCAGUGGGGAAUAUUGCACAAUGGGCGAAAGCCUGAUGCAGCUAUGCCGCGUGUAUGAAGAAGGCCUUAGGGUUGUAAAGUACUUUCAUCGGGGAGGAAAAAACAAAACUAAUAAUUUUAUUUCUUGACGUUACCCGAAAAAGAAGCACCGGCUAACUCCGUGCCAGCAGCCGCGGUAAUACGGAGGGUGCUAGCGUUAAUCAGAAUUACUGGGCGUAAAGAGCACGUAGGUGGUUUUUUUAAGUCAGAUGUGAAAUCCCUGGGCUUAACCUAGGAACUGCAUUUUGAAACUGAAAUACUAGAGUAUCGUAGAGGGAGGUAGAAUUCUAGGUGUAGCGGUGAAAUGCGUAGAUAUCUGGAGGAAUACCUGUGGCGAAAGCGGCCUCCUAAACGAAUACUGACACUGGAGGUGCGAAAGCGUGGGGAGCAAACGAGGGAUUAG
rnacentral:rRNA from 1 species